AGUCGACUAGAGUUUGAUCCUGGCUCAGAUUGAACGCUGGCGGGAUGCUUUACACAUGCAAGUCGGACGGCAGCACGGACUUCGGUCUGGUGGCGAGUGGCGAACGGGUGAGUAAUGUAUCGGAACGUGCCCAGUAGCGGGGGAUAACUACGCGAAAGCGUGGCUAAUACCGCAUACGCCCUACGGGGGAAAGCGGGGGACCUUCGGGCCUCGCACUAUUGGAGCGGCCGAUAUCGGAUUAGCUAGUUGGUGGGGUAACGGCUCACCAAGGCAACGAUCCGUAGCUGGUUUGAGAGGACGACCAGCCACACUGGGACUGAGACACGGCCCAGACUCCUACGGGAGGCAGCAGUGGGGAAUUUUGGACAAUGGGGGCAACCCUGAUCCAGCCAUCCCGCGUGUGCGAUGAAGGCCUUCGGGUUGUAAAGCACUUUUGGCAGGAAAGAAACGGCGCCGGAUAAUACCUGGCGCUAAUGACGGUACCUGCAGAAUAAGCACCGGCUAACUAC
rnacentral:rRNA from 1 species